AAGAAAUAAAGAAAUAGGGGUUCUUCCACUCAUGAAUGGAUGAUGGAAGAUCAAAAAUGAAAGAAAGACCCCUUCUUGGGUUGAAAAACCACCAAUCCUUGGCAUUUGGGUGGGGGCGAAGAACAAAAAAAGCACAAAAAAGAGAAGGACGAGGUUGGUUGGAAAAAGACAACACAAUAGGGCAAAGCAUAUAAUCAGUCAGAUAGAAUUCGAAGCCAGCUGAGCAGGACAA
rnacentral:lncRNA from 1 species